GACGAACGCUGGCGGCGUGCUUAACACAUGCAAGUCGAACGGAAAGGCCCUGCGGGGUUGUCGUGUGGGGAAGGGGAGCGUGUGACUAACACGAUAUUAACUGGACUUUGAGUUAAGGAUGGGUUAAGGGAACUGAUACUAAUACGGGCUAGGAGCUCCUGCGUGAGGGGGGGAGAGGGAAUGCUUGGGCGGUUGGGGAUGGGGUCGCGGCUUAUCAGCUUGUUGGUGGGGUAGUGGCUUACCAAGGCUUGGACGGGUAGCCGGCCUGAGAGGGUGACCGGCCACAUUGGGACUGAGAUACGGCCCAGACUCCUACGGGAGGCAGCAGUGGGGAAUAUUGCACAAUGGGCGGAAGCCUGAUGCAGCAACGCCGCGUGAGGGAUGACGGCCUUCGGGUUGUAAACCUCUUUCGCUAGGGACGAAGCGCGAGUGACGGUACUUGGAGAAGAAGCACCGGCUAACUACGUG
rnacentral:rRNA from 1 species